CGCAGCUAUCUGCAGUCGAGGGGCAGCGCAGGUAGCAAUACUGGGCGGCGACCGGCAAACGGGUGCGGAACACGUACGUAACCUUCCUCUAAAUGGAGCAUAGCCCGAAGAAAUUCGGAUUAAUACUCCAUAAGAUUGUGGAGUGGCAUCACUCAGCAAUUAAAGAAUUUCGUUUAGAGAUGGGCGUGCGGCUGAUUAGGUAGUUGGUGAGGUAACGGCUCACCAAGCCGACGAUCAGUAACUGGCGUGAGAGCGCGACCAGUCACACGGGCACUGAGACACGGGCCCGACUCCUACGGGAGGCAGCAGUAAGGAAUAUUGGUCAAUGGACGCAAGUCUGAACCAGCCAUGCCGCGUGAAGGAUGAAGGUCCUCUGGAUUGUAAACUUCUUUUAUAUGGGAAGAAACCACUCUUAUCUAAGGGUGUUGACGGUACCAUAGGAAUAAGCACCGGCUAACUCCGUGCCAGCAGCCGCGGUAAUACGGAGGGUGCAAGCGUUAUCCGGAUUCACUGGGUUUAAAGGGUGCGUAGGCGGGUCAGUAAGUCCGUGGUGAAAUCUCCAAGCUUAACUUGGAAACUGCCGUGGAUACUAUUGGUCUUGAAUGUUGUGGAGGUUAGCGGAAUAUGUCAUGUAGCGGUGAAAUGCUUAGAUAUGACAUAGAACACCAAUUGCGAAGGCAGCUGGCUACACAAAUAUUGACGCUGAGGCACGAAAGCGUGGGGAUCAAACAGGAUUAGAUACCCUGGUAGUCCACGCCCUAAACGAUGAUUACUCGACAUUUGCGAUAUACAGUAAGUGUCUGAGCGAAAGCAUUAAGUAAUCCACCUGGGAAGUACGACCGCAAGGUUG
rnacentral:rRNA from 1 species